UGAGGAAUAUUGGUCAAUGGGCGAGAGCCUGAACCAGCCAAGUAGCGUGCAGGAUGACGGCCCUAUGGGUUGUAAACUGCUUUUAUGUGGGGAUAAAGUGCGUGACGUGUCAUGCAUUGCAGGUACCACAUGAAUAAGGACCGGCUAAUUCCGUGCCAGCAGCCGCGGUAAUACGGAAGGUCCGGGCGUUAUCCGGAUUUAUUGGGUUUAAAGGGAGCGUAGGCUGUCUAUUAAGCGUGUUGUGAAAUUUACCGGCUCAACCGGUGGCUUGCAGCGCGAACUGGUCGACUUGAGUAUGCAGGAAGUAGGCGGAAUUCAUGGUGUAGCGGUGAAAUGCUUAGAUAUCAUGACGAACUCCGAUUGCGAAGGCAGCUUACUGUAGCAUAACUGACGCUGAUGCUCGAAAGUGCGGGUAUCAAACAGG
rnacentral:rRNA from 1 species